GGCAGCAAGACCAUUUUAUCUGCCUGGGCUCAUGUUCCUUUUCUCAAAGGUCAGUGAGAUAAAUUUAACAAUCAGUAAGUUCCCUUCCAUUCUACCUGUGCAAUGUUAGGAAAUGGAUUUUCACUAAGUGAGGAGCAGUUUUGCAGUAUGGUAAAAGUGAAGGCCAGGAACGAAGAAGCCAUGUACAGAAAACCAGCAACAACAAAAAAGAGAAGACUGGAAGAGAACUUUGGUUCUGGAUACGAAGAAAACACUAGUUCCUUCCUCAUUAAUUAUCCCUGAUGAAAUGCCUACUUCUUUAAAAACCCAUAAUGUCAUAUUUUUGGCACAGUCUACACUUGCUUUGUAUAGAAAGCUGAGUUUGAGAAUCUCACCAACUUUCUCUCUUUAGAAUCAAUCAAUGUUUAGAAAUGCUUAAGGAAGUAUCUAUGUAGCGAUUUUUAACAAGGACCUCACUUAGAUGUUUCAAUGUGGAAUAUUCAACGUGGAAUACACAUUUCUGUGUCAUACCCCACUCCCUUUAAACCUCUGUUGGAAGUACUGGCUUCAGCAAACCAAACUGAGCCGUGUCUCAUAACACCAGGGUCCUCCAGAGAUUUUCUCUUCUUUCCCUCAUUUUCCACUUUCAUAAAGAGAAAUGUGUAUAAGUCCAUUGACUCUUACAUAUCAUGCUUUCUCCCCUUCUAAUAAAAAUGAUCUUGUUUUUUAAGGAGCCAGUGUGGGAUGGGAAUGUACGCAGGACUUGGCUGGUAAACAAGGAGCAGGUGAGGCAAGUGAAGAAGAGAUUAGAGAAACCUGUCUUUCUCCCGCCUCCACUCUCCUGGCUUGAGAAGCUUAUAGAAGGCCAAUGGAUGUCCAAACCCAGGACUUAUUCCCACGCUCUUCUAGAAAGGAGAAUGGUCUUGGAAGAGAUAUCUGGUGUUCCAGACAUCUCUGAUGUCUCAAAGUCAUCACAACAGCGGCACUUUAGGAGCUGCCUAAAGAGGAAUUACCGUCUCCAUUUUACCUGUGGAAAAGGUGAAAUUCAGAAUUCAGAUGGACUGAUUCAAGUGUGAAUCAUCAGAAGAGACUAAGGCAAGAGCUCAUUAUCCAUUAUUUGAUUGCCACAUGUAAAUGAUUUGCCUGAAAUAAUCAAAGAAAAGUAUUUGGAGAAUGAGGGCAUUUAUGACAUGCUUGUCAAAUACACAGAUGCUUGAGGAUUGAGUGCUAGCCUUAUCUUUGUCCUUUGCUAGUUAUGAGAUUUAGACAAGUUACUUAACAUUCCUUAGCCUAUCUUUCAUGGAGAAAUGAGACAGUUAAUUUAAAUGAGAUUUUUCAACUUUUUCUUUUCACUUUAAUGUUAUAAAAGUUGCACUAUACGCAAUCCCACCUUCUACUUAGCCCCCUCCCUGAACACAGUUCAAAAACUAAAGAACUAGGUAAUCUGAAAGCUUCCUUCUGUUCUUAAAUUUACUGUUUUUAUGACUGGAAGUAACUAGUUUUCUAGUCUUCUACUUGUCCGUGUCCUUUACAGUAUCUUCUGGUAUAAAAGAACUCUAGACAUGGAAUUAGAGUUGCUGGGUCCCUGCUGCACCAUGCAAUUAUCUUUCGCCCUCUUAAUUGAGUUGCUUUAUCUCUGUAAGCCUCCAUUUCCUAGUAUUUAAGAUAAAAGUAGUAACCCUUCUCAGGAAACUGCUUUGUAAACUGUAAAAGACUAAAUAAAUGUACAGCGUCAUCAGCACUAUCUCCUGUGCACAACUGCCUUCUCUGUAGGGAGACGGCUUUCUUCUUAGAAUGACUCCAAGUAACAAUGUGGGUUGAGCUGCUCUUUGGCAAACUUGUCUAAGAGGUAAUACUUAUCAUAUUUAUACCUCACCUUUCCUGCUAGGUUGAAGUUAAGUCUGUACAGAGGAUUGGGCUAUUAACACAGCAAAUGAUUAAGCUGAGGAAACAGUGUUAUUAAAUUUAAAGGGAAGAACAGUCCCCAUAAUGCGACCUUGACAUUAACAACCCAGCCACAUUUCUCCCUCUGCACAAAGCCAUGCUCCAGUAAUAAUUAGUUAUUUAUGCAAACUAUACACUGUUUUUCAUGGGUGUGUUCAUUUGUUUGUUUGUUUUGCGAGGUUUGUUUGUUUGUUUGAUACAGAGUCUCACUAUGUAAUCCAGCCUGUCUUCAGACUCACA
rnacentral:lncRNA from 1 species